AAAUCUAUUUUUCUUUUUAAAAAAUUACUUCCGGAAAUAAUUUAGCUUCACUGUUACACAAUCCACAAAUUAUUUAGCUUCAGGAUUUUACAAUACAUGAGUUAUUUAUUAGCGAACAAUCUGAAAAGAACAAAAUAGGGAAAAAAAAUUAUUGGAUGCAAUGCAAGAAAGUUACCCAGAUGGAGGAAGAAACUGCCACGUUGUGUUGUGCUGGUUGCUAAACAAGCUCGGGGCAGGUAGCUUCAUGUAUGGAAGGGUGGUUUUGCUGCUUUGUUGGUUGAAACGGUGAAAUUCAGGUUAUCACAAUUCAGAGUCCAGAAAUAUGCUUCCGAAACACUAAUCCAAAACGUGUAGCUAGGAAUUGGUGUUUCCGGAAUUACCGGCUAGAAAAGAAUAUCCAGAAUAGUAGUGGGAGAUGCGACAUGUAUUUCGAAUUCACGUUUUCGGAAGGCUAUUUUGUACAAUCCGAAAAGAGUAUUACGACACUAUUGCACAAGGGUUUUGGAAUGCACAUUCGGUAACAUAUUCCGAAAUUCGGAAUUUCCAAUCCGGUUAAAUUCCGGAAUACCCAUUUUGGAAGUUAAAAAAUUCCUUACCUCAAAUACGGUUAGGAGUAACGUAAGCCACAAGCUUGCCUCCGAUGGUGCCCAUGCAGCGGCAGAAACACAAGCACAGGUGGAGGAAAAGGAACAGAUGGAUAUUGUUGAAACGAAAACAGAGGUGGAUGAAAACUGCACGAAAAAGGGAGAAAGGGAUGACACUUCAAAGUUUAAGGUAAAAUUUACAGGGAAAAUGGCAGUGGAGAAAAUACAGAGUGAAAUUUUGAAGGCUAGACAUUCACAACAUGCCAUCUUCCUCAAGUUAACUACAUAAAUUCAUUUCUGCAGUUUUAAAAUCAAGAAUUCAGAAGACAUAAUCACUCACUUAUCAUCAACAUGCUGCUCUUGUUUACCUCCUGCCACAAUAACCUGGGUCAUCUCUUCCAUUUUUAGCUCAUUUAUAACAUUAUCUAGUUUGA